UUUGGUUGCGAAUUUUGUUUGCAGAUGAUAAUGGAAGCACUUAUGGCGCUGAACGAGAAGAGCGGGUCGAGUCCGUACGCCAUAGCAAAGCACAUGGAGGAGAAGCACAAGGCGGUGCUCCCGGCGAACUUCAGGAAGACUCUGGCACUGCAGCUGAAGAACUCGGCGGCGAGAGGAAAGUUGAUCAAGAUCAGAGCCUCGUACAAGCUCUCCGAGGCGGGCAAGAAGGAGAAAUCGACAGCCAAAACAAGCGCCGUUUCGAAACCAAAAGCGGAGAAGAAGACCAAAACGACCUCCUCUGCUAAGAAGCCCGGGAAAAAGAACAAGAUGUCAACCGCCGCGAAGCCCAAGCAGCCCAAGUCGAUCAAGAGCUCUGCUGCUAAGAAAUCGAAGAAGUCUGCUGCUUGAAAUAUGUGAAGACGAAGAAAGAUGUAUAAAAAGUAGGGCAGAAUAAUAAGUUGGAGAAAGUUGUGUUUGUCGGUGCUCUGUUUUUGUAUGUGAAUAUAUGGAAUCUUUUGGUGUAUGGAGGAGAUGGCCGUAAACUUUGGAAAAAUGGGGUCUUUUUGUAAUCUGCAAGUUUUCUUGGAAUGAAAGAACUAACUUGUGCUAAUUGCUGAGUUUUGCUUUGCAUCCCCUCUUUCAUUGGGGGAGCCAGAAAUUAUUUCAAUGGUAAUAACUAUGAAGAAAGGGUGUAUGAUAAUACAAACCCCUUUAAAAAAACAAUCUCACCCUAAUAAGUAACAUAUAAACAAACAAAAAAAA
rnacentral:lncRNA from 1 species